rnacentral:misc_RNA from 1 species
AAAUAAAUAGUGCUGUCUACAGCGACUUCAGUAGUCUUUUUACAAAAAAGAUUCAAAACAAUGGAUUCAAAUAGAAUUCCCACAUCUUCAUAUUAUUAUCCUCGAAAGGCCACAGACAAUUUCUUGCGCCUGUGUCGUCUAAUAACGGAACUUUGUAGAGACCUUUUAAGGAUUGUUUUAUGUCAUUAUAUCAGACCACCUGAUCUUAGAACAGAGUUGGAUAACAACAGGACAAGGUUAAUCAGAAUCUUAAACGCUAAGGCAAAAAAACAAAUCUAUCCAGCUACAGGAAAUCCAACACUAGCCGUAAAAGAUUUUGAUAUUUCUACCCUAUACAUUCUUUUAAGAAACAUCUGUAACCUUCCCCAGCAUCAAAACGGUUGGGGAAAUGAACCAACAAGAGGCGACAACAGCAUUGCAGCAUGUAUAGAAAGGAUAAGAUGCCAAAGAAAUGAGUAUGUGCAUUCAACUGGAACGGUUGAAGAUACCAAUUUUCAAAACAGUUGGAGUGAACUGCGGGAUGCCAUUGUUGAAAUUGAGAGGCAGUUGAUUGGUGGAGAUUUAUUUCAAAAAUCUACUGAGUUUCUGCUUAACUGCGAUAUUUGUAUUGUUCAACGAGGAAUGACACAAAUGGAAGACAAAAGUGUACAAGACACCUUAGGAACUUUUUACGAUGACUGUGGAAGAUCUAUAAAAUUUGCCAACCUUUUCAAUGAACUAUCAGGAAGUAUCCCUCAGGAAAAAAUACACCGAUUGAAAGAUCUCAUUCAAUGUAAGAUAAGGCUGUUAUGAUGUAUUAAAUAUGAAUACAAAAAAGAGAUCUUUAUAAAAGUGUUUUAAUAUUUUUCAUUAAAUUGCAGAUUCGUGCAAAAUUGGAAACAUUGCAGGGUUAAAGAAUGCGAUUUCUGCAAGAGAUUGCUUGGCCAUUCUGACUGAAGCGAAACUAUUCAAUUCUAAAGAUGUUAUUUGUAUGCAGUAUUUGAUGAAAAAAAUAGAGUGUGAAGAGUUAUUCACAAAAUGUUAUGAAUAUGCAGAAGAAGAAAACUUACUGUGUUUUCACGAAAAACCACUAGGUUAAUUUUUUUCAUUAGCAUGUUUUUUAUUAACAUUUUUGCAUUUGCAUGAAUAUCCAACAGUAUCCUGAUCCUUCGAUACAAAGACUACUACAGGAACGUUCAAACCCAACCUAACAGAAAGUAAACCCCAACUAAACCAUGGGUUUACUUUCGGGAUUUACAUCGGGUUAACUAGAGCAUAUCCAGAUCAAACCCCGACUAACCCGAAAUAAACCAACGUAAACCUAGGAAGGUUAAACCCCUGUCACACUGGAGCUGCGCCCUCACGGCGAUCCCGCUGCGUCCUUGAUUAAUGUAAAACGCCACGGGUAACGCAGUAUAUUCUCCAUGGGAGACUUUGGAUCGCCUUGAACAUUUUAGAACGGCAUGCUACGGCGCGCACAUUGAACAUGCACAAAGCACGCGCCGUGCCUCUGCGUUCUGAUAAACACGCCGUAGAAGAGAAGUGAGGUCGCCGUGACAGCACCGUAUGAUCUCCAACAGUGCCACGAGAGCUCCGUCAGCGCGCCCGAGAAAUACAACUAAUAGCAAUGUAGACGCAGUGAGAAGUCAAUUGUGCUUGCACGGAGACCUCACGGAGUCCUUUGGAAUCUCACUGCGUCUUUAUCACGCUCUCACUGCGCACCAAAAGCGUUUGAACAAGUUUUUCAUUUGUCUGCGUUCACACAGCGACCUUAAAGAGCUGUUGCUGCGUUCAUCGCGCUCUCGUGACGUUUCUUUUGCGUUGAUACCGCUUUCCCAUGGCGUAUCUAGUGCGUUGUCAUCAAGACCACGAAAACUCGAACAAUGGCUGUUGUACAAUAGCAAUGCAAGCGAUGUAAUAAUUAUCAAACUGGAUGUAGAUGACUUUGUAAAAAGUAGCAUUUGCUCAUAUUCCAAGACCUAUCAAUGGACGUAGAUGGAAUUCAUGCCAUUUGGUUCUGAUGUUUUCACAUCUUUUCUAUGUUUGCUUACAACUAACAACGGAUCUUUUUUGUAGACCUGACUACUUAGAGUUUUGUUCUAGUCCUUCACAAAUUGUUUAGAAGUAGCUAUGUUUCAAUAACAGUGUACCUUUUCUUAAAAUAAAAACAAUUUUUUAUCAUUUAUUUACUAGUUGUAAAUUCUUGUUUGUUCCCCCAUACAAUAGUACAAAUUAAUAUUGACCUACCAAGAAGUAAAGAACGCCAUGGACGCGCGGUAAAAACUCCUAGCACGUCGUGAGCGCAGUUAAUCGCCAAGUAGAACUCCGUGGAAACGCAGUUACACGCCGUGGGAGCUCCGUAAGAAUGCCUCGGUCACCGUCAGGACGCCGUGACUUCUCCAUUUGCAAAAUUUUCAAAUAAAACUGUACAUUUUUUCUGAAUUUUCCUUGCGAUCCUACGACGAUUCCAUGAAUUUUACAACGCCAUGAACACGCCGUGGGGACGCAGCUUGGUGUGACAGGACCUUAAACCCUGAUCAGAAGUGGGCCUCUGAAAGCAGACCUUGCAUGUGUAUUUGAAAUAUACAAGAGGUGGGAAUUACAGACGGUAAGAUGGUUAGAUAGAAGACGGGUCUGCUUAACACGUCAGAGUUUAAAGUGGAGCCAAAAGCAAACCCUUAGUAAACACAAAUUAUGACCUGAGUAAACCCAAAGUAAGCCCGUUAGAUUAGCUUAGGUCGGAACCAUAUCACUUGUUUGUUGAACUCAAACUGU